AUCUGAUUCUGGUGAAUUGGGGUUAGGGUUUUUAAUUUUUUUUAUUGUUUACUGUUUAUUGGGCUUAUACGUUGGGCUUUUUAUUGGGCUGCUUG